UGCCUAUUAGCUCAAUUGGAAGAGCUUUGUGCGAUUGCACAAUAAUGUAGGUUCCAAUCCUACAGAGGCAA
rfam:Spinacia oleracea cultivar SynViroflay scaffold37439.con0001.1, whole genome shotgun sequence.